UACGUAGGGGGCAAGCGUUGUCCGGAUUCAUUGGGCGGAAAGAGCUCGUAGGCGGCUUGGCAAGUCGGGUGUGAAAACUCCAGGCUCAACCUGGAGACGCCACCCGAUACUGCUAUGGCUUGAGUCCGGUAGGGGACCACGGAAUUCCUGGUGUAGCGGUGAAAUGCGCAGAUAUCAGGAGGAACACCGGUGGCGAAGGCGAGUCCCUGGACGAUACCUGACACUGAGGCACGAAAGCUAGGGGAGCAAACAGG
rnacentral:rRNA from 1 species